rnacentral:rRNA from 1 species
UAGGGAAUCUUCGGCAAUGGACGAAAGUCUGACCGAGCAACGCCGCGUGAGUGAAGAAGGUUUUCGGAUCGUAAAACUCUGUUGUUAGAGAAGAACAAGGACGUUAGUAACUGAACGUCCCCUGACGGUAUCUAACCAGAAAGCCACGGCUAACUACGUGCCAGCAGCCGCGGUAAUACGUAGGUGGUAAGCGUUGUCCGGAUUUAUUGGGCGUAAAGCGAGCGCAGGUGGUUUCUUAAGUCUGAUGUGAAAGCCCCCGGCUCAACCGGGGAGGGUCAUUGGAAACUGGGAGACUUGUGUGCAGAAGAGGAGAGUGGAAUUCCAUGUGUAGCGGUGAAAUGCGUAGAUAUAUGGAGGAACACCAGUGGCGAAAGCGGCUCUCUGGUCUGUAACUGAAGAUGAGGCUCGAAAGCGUGGGGAGCAAACAGG